rnacentral:rRNA from 1 species
AGUGAACGCUGGCGGUAGGCCUAACACAUGCAAGUCGAACGGCAGCACAGUGAGAGCUUGCUCUUACGGGUGGCGAGUGGCGGACGGGUGAGGAAUACAUCGGAAUCUACUUUUUCGUGGGGGAUAACGUAGGGAAACUGACGCUAAUACCGCAUACGACCUACGGGUGAAAGCAGGGGAUCUUCGGACCUUGCGCGAUUGAAUGAUCCGAUGUCGGGUUAGCUAGUUGGCGGGGUACAGGCCCACCAAGGCGACGAUCCGUAGCUGGUCUGAGAGGAUGAUCAGCCAGACUGGAACUGAGAAACGGUCCAGACUCCUACGGGAGGCAGCAGUGGGGAAUAUUGGACAAUGGGCGCAAGCCUGAUCCAGCCAUACCGCGUGGGUGAAGAAGGACUUCGGGUUGGAAAGCCCUUUUGUUGGGAAAGAAAAGCAGCAGGUUAAUACCCCGCUGUUCUGACGGUACCCAAAGAAUAAGCACCGGCUAACUUCGUG